rnacentral:rRNA from 1 species
ACCGAAGGACUGCUAAUACUCCAUGUGGUCGCAAGAUCAAAGAUGCAAAUCGCUUUGGGAUGAGCCUGCGGCUUAUCAGCUAGUUGGCGGGGUAAUUGCCCACCAAGGCUAUGACGAGUACCCGGACUGAGAGGUCGAUCGGGAAGAGGGGCACUGAGACACGGGCCUCACUCCUACGGGAGGCAGCAAUCGGGAAUUUUGCACAAUGGACGAAAGUCUGAUGCAGCGACGCCGCGUGAAGGAUGAAGGCCUUCGGGUUGUAAACUUCUGUAAAUAGCACCGGCUAACUUCGUGCCAGCAGCAGCGGUCAUACGUAGGGUGCUAGCAUUAUCCGGAUUCACUGGGCGUAAAGAGUUCUGUAGGCUGCUUUGUAAGUCAGAUGUCCAAUCCCACCGCUCAACGGUGGAACUGCAUCUGAUACUGCAUCGCUAGAAUUGGCUAGAGGUAAGCGGAACUUGUUGAGGAGCGGUAAAAUGCGUUGAUACAACAGGGAACACCAAAGGGGUAGCCAGCUUACUGGGGCCUAUUUGACGCUGAGAGACGAAAGCGUGGAGAACGAAACGGAUUAGAUACCCGUGUAGCCCACGCCCUAAACAAUGUGCGCUAGAUGUCUGAUUUAUUGGGUGUCGAAGCUAACGCGUUAAGCGCACCGCCUAGGAAGUACGGUCGCAAGAUUAAAACUCAAAGGAAUUGCGGGGGGAACCAAAA